UUCCGGUUGAUCCUGCCGGACCCGACUGCUAUCGGAUUGAUACUAAGCCAUGCGAGUCAUUGUAGCAAUACAAGGCAUACGGCUCAGUAACGCGUAGUCAACCUAACCUAUGGACGGGAAUAACCUCGGGAAACUGAGAAUAAUGCCCGAUAGAACAUUAUGCCUGGAAUGGUUUAUGUUCCAAAUGAUUUAUCGCCGUAGGAUGGGACUGCGGCCUAUCAGUUUGUUGGUGAGGUAAUGGCCCACCAAGACUAUUACAGGUACGGGCUCUGAGAGGAGUAGCCCGGAGAUGGGUACUGAGACACGGACCCAGGCCCUAUGGGGCGCAGCAGGCGAGAAAACUUUGCAAUGUGCGAAAGCACGACAAGGUUAAUCCGAGUGGUUUCUGCUAAAGGAACCUUUUGUCAGUCCUAGAAACACUGAUGAAUAAGGGGUGGGCAAGUUCUGGUGUCAGCCGCCGCGGUAAAACCAGCACCUCAAGUGGUCAGGAUGAUUAUUGGGCCUAAAGCAUCCGUAGCCGGCUCUGUAAGUUUUCGGUUAAAUCUGUACGUUCAACGUACAGGCUGCCGGGAAUACUGCAAAGCUAGGGAGUGGGAGAGGUAGACGGUACUCGGUAGGAAGGGGUAAAAUCCUUUGAUCUAUUGAUGACCACCUGUGGCGAA
rnacentral:rRNA from 2 species